rnacentral:rRNA from 1 species
AGUCAGUUCAGGCAGACCCGAAACCGGGUGAUCUACCCAUGUCCAGGUUGAAGUUUCCGUAAAAGGAAAUGGAGGACCGAACGCACAUCCGUUGAAAAGGGUGGCGAUGAGGUGUGGGUAGGGGAGAAAUUCCAAUCGAACCCGGAGAUAGCUGGUUCUCCUCGAAAUAGCUUUAGGGCUAGCCUCGUAUUAGUUUAGCGGAGGUAGAGCACUGAAUUCUUAAGGGGGCGUCAAAGCUUACCAAGAGAUAUCAAACUCCGAAUGCCGCAUAAAUGAUGUACGGGAGUCAGACUGCACGAGAUAAGUUGGGUAGUCAAAAGGGAAAGAGCCCAGACCUACAGCUAAGGUCCCAAAGUGUGUGUUAAGUGGAAAAGGAUGUGGGAUUUCAAAGACAACUAGGAUGUUGGCUCAGAAGCAGCCACACAUUCAAAGAGUGCGUAAUAGCUCACUAGUCGAGAGGUCCUGCGCCGAAAAUGUCCGGGGCUGAAACACAACACCGAAGCUUAGGAAUUGACGUAAGUCAAUUGGUAGAGGAGCAUUCUUAACUGCGAAGAAGCGUUACCGUAAGGAGGCGUGGAGUGUUAAGAAGAGAGAAUGCCGGAAUGAGUAGCGAGAUGGAGGUGGGAAUCCUCCAGGCCGAAUAUCUAAGGUUUCCAGAGUAAAGCUGAUCUGCUCUGGGUAAGUCGGGGCCUAAGGCGAGGUCGAAAGACGUAGUCGAUGGACAACAGGUUGAAAUUCCUGUACCGCGUAUUAUCAGAACUGUGGGGACACAGAACCGAAGCCAAACCCGGGAAUGAAAAGACCGGGGCAAGCGCCGGACUGGUUAGACUGGAAAAUCCGUCUAGCAACAGGAAAGCGUGACGCGUACCGAACAAAAGUAGGGAAGUUGGUAUAGGGGCUGUCAAGAAAAGCCGCUAUUGUGUAAUACGUGCCCGUACCGUAAACCGACACAGGUGGAUGAGGAGAGAAUCCUAAGGCCGGCGGGAGAAGCAUUGUUAAGGAACUCGGCAAAAUGGCUCCGUAACUUCGGGAUAAGGAGCGCCCACGAGAGUGGGCCGCAGAGAAUAGGCUCAAGCAACUGUUUAGCAAAAACACAGGUCUAUGCAAAACCGAAAGGUGAGGUAUAUGGGCUGACGCCUGCCCGGUGCUGGAAGGUUAAGAGGAGAGGUUAGAGCAAUCGAAGCUUUGAAUUUAAGCCCCAGUAAACGGCGGCCGUAACUAUAACGGUCCUAAGGUAGCGAAAUUCCUUGUCGGGUAAGUUCCGACCCGCACGAAAGGCGUAAUGAUUUGAGCGCUGUCUCGACAAUGCACCCGGUGAAAUUGAAGUACCAGUGAAGAUGCUGGUUACCUGCGCCAGGACGGAAAGACCCCAUGGAGCUUUACUCCAGCUUGAUACUGGGAUUCGGUGUCGCAUGUACAGGAUAGGUGGGAGGCAGUGAAGGUAGGACGCCAGUCUUACCGGAGCCAUUGUUGGGAUACCACCCUUGCGAUAUUGGGUUUCUAACCUGCGGCCAUGACCUGGCCGGGGGACAAUGUCAGGUGGGGAGUUUGACUGGGGCGGUCGCCUCCGAAAGUGUAUCGGAGGCGCUCAAAGGUUCCCUCAGAAUGGUUGGAAACCAUUCGAAGAGUGCAAAGGCAUAAGGGAGCUUGACUGCGAGACUGACGGGUCGAGCAGGUACGAAAGUAGGACUUAGUGAUCCGGUGGUAUAAAGUGGGAUUGCCAUCGCUCAACGGAUAAAAGCUACCCUGGGGAUAACAGGCUUAUCACUCCCAAGAGUUCACAUCGACGGAGUGGUUUGGCACCUCGAUGUCGGCUCAUCGCAUCCUGGGGCUGAAGUAGGUCCCAAGGGUUGGGCUGUUCGCCCAUUAAAGCGGUACGCGAGCUGGGUUCAGAACGUCGUGAGACAGUUCGGUCCCUAUCCGGCGUGGGCGUAGGAUAUUUGAGAGGAGCUGUCCUUAGUACGAGAGGACCGGGAUGGACUGACCUCUGGUGUACCGGUUGGGUAUCAAACCCAUGGCCGGGUAGCCAAGUCGGGAAGGGAUAAACGCUGAAGGCAUCUAAGCGUGAAGCCCCCCUCAAGAUGAGAUAUCCCAUCGCAAGAGUAAGACCCCUUGAAGACGACGAGGUAGAUAGGGCAGAGGUGGAAGCAUGGCAACAUGUG